rfam:Nematostella vectensis strain CH2 x CH6 NEMVEscaffold_900_Cont33820, whole genome shotgun sequence.
GGUCCCAUGGUGUAACGGUUAGCAAUCUGGACUUUUAAUCCUGCGAUCCGAGGUCAAUUCUUGAUGGGACCU